rnacentral:sRNA from 1 species
UAUCUGACAGAUGAAAUGGCUCAACUAGGUCCAUCUCCAAAGCCCCUGCUAGCUUUUAGGAGCAAUGGCUUAUCUGCUGAUACCCUCCUGUUCCCAGCCAGGACUAUCAACAUGGUAUCUUCCAAUCAAUUGGCUUCAAGGAAUUUCACGAGUACCUGAUCACUGAGGGAAAAUGCACACUGGAGACUAGUAACCAGCUUCUAAAGAAAGGUAUUGAGGCUCUGAAGCAAGUAACUAAGAGAUAUGCCCGGAAACAAAACCGAUGGGUUAAAAACCGUUUUUUGAGCAGUAAGUCUCAUGUUUUUCUUUAUCCUAUGGGUCUGUUUUCAAUAGAAUAUAGAUGUCCUCAGCUCACCCAGAAAAUGAAUUUUAGAUUCUGGGCCUGUUCUAAGAUUUUGGAUCUGACCUAAGGGAAGUUCUAUAACAUAAAUGAUUAUCCAGGGAUAUUUUCUUGGGAUGUCUCA